rnacentral:rRNA from 1 species
GAUGAACGCUGGCGGCGUGCCUAAUACAUGCAAGUCGAGCGAACAGACGAGGAGCUUGCUCCUCUGACGUUAGCGGCGGACGGGUGAGUAACACGUGGAUAACCUACCUAUAAGACUGGGAUAACUUCGGGAAACCGGAGCUAAUACCGGAUAAUAUAUUGAACCGCAUGGUUCAAUAGUGAAAGACGGUUUUGCUGUCACUUAUAGAUGGAUCCUCGCCGUAUUAGCUAGUUGGUAAGGUAACGGAUUACCAAGGCAACGAUGCGUAGCCGACAUGAGAGGGUGAUCGGCCAAACUGGAACUGAGACACGGUCCAGACUCCUACGAGAGGCAGAAGUAGGGAAUCUUCCGCAAUGGGCGAAAGCCUGACGGAGCAACGACGCGUGAGUGAUGAAGGUCUUCGGAUCGUAAAACUCUGUUAUUAGGGAAGAACAAAUGUGUAAGUAACUAUGCACGUCUUGACGGUACCUAAUCAGAAAGCCACGGCUAACUACGUG